ACUUUUGUCACUGUUUAAAAUAAUAUUCGGAAAACAACUGAAUACAUCUGCAAGUAUAAGUAUACGCUUUUAAAUUUACCGCCAAGCGAUCACGAGACUUGCUGCAUCAUCAGACCCGCAAUCAGCUGGUCGCUGCUUGUGUAAAUAAAAAGUUGCGCAAGUAUAGGGAGUGCAAAAUAGUUUGCUAAACGCAUUAUGAUCAUAGCGAGCAGCUACUAUUGUUGUUUCGAAUGGAGGGAGUUUGAAAUACAGCCUGAUUCAGUAAAAUGACCAACGUCGCCAAGCAGAUGCAAAUUAAACUCAGAAUAAAGCAAGCGCCGCAAGUGAAGCAAAGGAGUGCGGAAGUGAUGUUUUUAUAACGGAAUAAUUUUGUUGCCGUCGACGAUGCUGUCUCAGGACGAUGUGCGCCGCCUUUCGACUGAUUCCCAACUUUGUUAUCAUCCAUCGGAUAGCACACGACGGGGGAUGCCGCGUAAUUUAAUUGCGUGUAAUUCACCACAUCAAGCGUCAAGCAAACAGCUCUUAAUACUCAACGAAAAACCUAUCAACAGUAAAA